rnacentral:rRNA from 1 species
AUUGAACGCUGGCGGCAGGCUUAACACAUGCAAGUCGAGCGGAGAUGAGGUGCUUGCACCUUAUCUUAGCGGCGGACGGGUGAGUAAUGCUUAGGAAUCUGCCUAUUAGUGGGGGACAACAUUCUGAAAGGAAUGCUAAUACCGCAUACGUCCUACGGGAGAAAGCAGGGGAUCUCCGGACCUUGCGCUAAUAGAUGAGCCUAAGUCGGAUUAGCUAGUUGGUGGGGUAAAGGCCUACCAAGGCGACGAUCUGUAGCGGGUCUGAGAGGAUGAUCCGCCACACUGGGACUGAGACACGGCCCAGACUCCUACGGGAGGCAGCAGUGGGGAAUAUUGGACAAUGGGGGGAACCCUGAUCCAGCCAUGCCGCGUGUGUGAAGAAGGCCUUAUGGUUGUAAAGCACUUUAAGCGAGGAGGAGGCUACUGAGACUAAUACUCUUGGAUAGUGGACGUUACUCGCAGAAUAAGCACCGGCUAACUCUGUGCCAGCCGCCGCGGUAA